rnacentral:rRNA from 1 species
AGAGUUUGAUCCUGGCUCAGAGCGAACGCUGGCGGCAUGCUUAACACAUGCAAGUCGCACGGCCAGCAAUGGCAGUGGCGGACGGGUGAGUAUCGCGUAGGAACAUAUCCUGAGGUGGGGGACAACCCUGGGAAACUGGGGCUAAUACCGCAUAGGGACUGAGGUCCAAAGCCGUGAGGCGCCUUGGGAGCGGCCUGCGUCCGAUUAGGUAGUUGGUGGGGUAAAGGCCUACCAAGCCUGCGAUCGGUAGCUGGUCUGAGAGGACGAUCAGCCACACUGGGACUGAGACACGGCCCAGACUCCUACGGGAGGCAGCAGUGGGGAAUAUUGGACAAUGGGCGCAAGCCUGAUCCAGCAAUGCCGCGUGGGUGAAGAAGGUCUUCGGAUUGUAAAGCCCUUUCGACGGGGACGAUGAUGACGGUACCCGUAGAAGAAGCCCCGGCUAACUUCGUGCCAGCAGCCGCGGUAAUACGAAGGGGGCUAGCGUUGCUCGGAAUUACUGGGCGUAAAGGGCGCGUAGGCGGCUCGCUUAGUCAGGCGUGAAAUUCCUGGGCUCAACCUGGGGACUGCGCUUGAGACGGGUGGGCUAGAGGACGGAAGAGGCUCGCGGAAUUCCCAGUGUAGAGGUGAAAUUCGUAGAUAUUGGGAAGAACACCGGUGGCGAAGGCGGCGAGCUGGUCCGUUACUGCGCUGAGGCGCGACAGCGUGGGGAGCAAACAGGAUUAGAUACCCUAGUAGUCC